GGAGGGCCAGCGGGGUUUCCGGUUCCGAUGCCGGAUAGCAAUGGCGUCUCUGAGGCGCUACGUCCUGGUCUUCGGCGGCUUCGCUGCUGCGAAAAGGCACAAAAUAUAAAUCGAGCCGGCAUUAUCCAAGAAGAUGUACAGCCUCCAGGAUUAAAAGUGUGGUCUGAUCCAUUUGGAAAAAAGUAAAAAAAAAACACCUCUCCUGAAGAUGUGUGGAUUUUCCUUUUUGCCAUCCAUGAUACUCCAAGUCCUUUUUGACAACUGAAAUAAUGUAGAAAAAGGGUUUGGCAUGUCGGUUUGCAUUCAUGUAUAUAUGUAGUAAUUGCCAAUUUGCAAGCUUCUCUCUGAUCUAGACGUGACAAAGAGAACUGUAUGGAAUGUUUUCUGUUAAGAAAAUGGAAUAAUUGUGUUUUCCUUUAUUGAGAGAAUAAAUAUUAUUUUGAUCUGCACAGAUUAAGCAGCUGACGUCUGUAUAAAAUAUGACAACAAUAAAGUAUAUUAUUAUAAAAAAAAACCCCAAACUUGGUUCUAGAAUUGUGAGAAAUAAAGCUUUUUUAUAAUGUUCUACUAUAGGAUAUGGGGCUCAGCAUUUAGCCGUUCUUUAAAUGAAAAGGUGGACCGAGGAAAACAAUACUUAACUUCUGAAAAAGAUAUCCCAGAUAAACAUUGUAAUUUUUAGGCUUCAAGAGGAGAUGAUUUUUAAACAGAUUUAAUUUCUAAUUAAAAUGGUACCAUUUUGGGCU